AACAGAGCUGAGGCAUCAUCUGUGAUAGGCAUACUUCCAACAGCAGCCCAGCCCCACCCUCGAGGCUGAUAAAAGGAAGCUUUUUUAAUGCUGUGCAUUAUGAGCACGUGGAAUUCAUUGCCACAAGAAACUGCUUCCAGCGGCAGCAACCACGGCUCUGCCCAGCCCUGGAAAUUCCUCUCUUCAGGAAUGUCAUUGACAAAUGAUUAGGACUGUGGCAGAUCUGACAAGCGAGAAUGCAGGCAGCACUGUAAGGGGGCCCCAGACUAACCAUGCGUCCAGGCCAUCACAGCUGCCUCAGGGCUGGCAUUUUUUAGUGAUUGAUUCUUGGGCAAGUCUUGAAGAUGGCAGUGAGUUCUGCCUGCUGCAAGUAACACUCUUUCAAGCAACUCUUUGGUUUUGAUCUGGCUAUUAUGCAGAUGUUGAAGUGCACAGCAGUGAACCAUGAGCCCACUGAAGAUAAGACUCAACAUUUGAUAUUAUUCAGUAUCUCUGCUUAGAUAGGACAAAUAAAAAUUGCAUUGGAAUUUCCUUACA
rnacentral:lncRNA from 1 species